UAGGGGUGAAAUGCCAAUCGAACGUGGAGAUAGCUGGUUCUCCCCGAAAUAGCUUUAGGGCUAGCCUCGAGGUAGAGAUUGCAGGCGGUAGAGCACUGAUCAGGAGAGGGGCCUACCCGGCUACCAAACCCAGUCAAACUACGAAUGGCUGCAAUUAUACUCGGGAGUCAGACUACGACUUAUAAGGGCCGUGGUCAAAAGGGAAACAGCCCAGAUCAUCAGCUAAGGUCCCAAAUGCCGUGCUAAGUGGCGAAGGAUGUGGCGUUUCAUAAACAACCAGGAUGUUGGCUCAGAAGCAGCCACCAUUUAAAGAGUGCGUAAUAGCUCACUGGUCGAGAGACGCUGCGCCGAAAAUGUCCGGGGCUCAAGCACGGAACCGAAGCUAUGGCAUGAUAGCAAUAUCAUGGGUAGGGGAGCGUUCUUAACAGGAAGAAGCAUGACCGGAAGGACAUGUGGACCGUUAAGAAGUGAGAAUGCCGGUAUGAGUAUCGAAAAGAAAGGUGAGAAUCCUUUCCACCGAAAGCCCGAGGGUUCCUGAGCAACGAUCGUCGUCUCAGGGUAAGUCGGGACCUAAGCCGAGGCGGAGACGCAUAGGCGAUGGACAACAGGUUGAAAUUCCUGUACCGGAUACAAUCGUUUGAGCGAUGGAGCGACGCAGAAAGGCAUAUGAUCGCGCGACUGGAAGAGCGCGUCCAAGUGCGUAUGUUGAAUCGGAGGCAAAUCCCUGAUUCUGAAAGCAGAGACACGAUGGGGAGUUAUACGAAAGUAUGACGAACUCAUAGAUCCUACACUGCCAAGAAAAACUUCUAGUGAGAAAGUAUCCGCCCGUACCGUAAACCGACACAGGUAGGCGGGGAGAGAAUCCUAAGGUGCGCGGGAAAACCCUCGUUAAGGAACUCGGCAAAUUGCAUCCGUAACUUAGGGAGAAGGAUGACCUUAAGUAAGCGAAAGGGAGAAACCCCUGGAACAGAACAAGGUGGCAGAAAAGAGGCCCAAGCAACUGUUUACCAAAAACACAGGUGCCUGCGAAAGCGAAAGCUGAAGUAUAGGUGCUGACGCCUGCCCGGUGCUGGAAGGUUAAGGAGAGAUGUCAGAGCAAUCGAAGCAUUGAACUGAAGCCCCAGUGAACGGCGGCCGUAACUAUAACGGUCCUAAGGUAGCGAAAUUCCUUGUCGGGUAAGUUCCGACCCGCACGAAAGGUGUAACGAUUUGGGCACUGUCUCAACGAGGGACCCGGUGAAAUUGAAAUACCUGUGAAGAUGCAGGUUACCCGCGACUGGACAGAAAGACCCCAUGGAGCUUUACUGUAACCUGAGAUUGGAUUCCGGUAAGAGAUGUACAGGAUAGUUGGGAGGCUGAGAAGUGAGUACGCCAGUAUUCACGGAGCCGGUGGUGGGAUACCAACCUUGUUUUAUUGGAAUUCUAACGAGAAGCGUAACGAGCUUGCGGACAGUCUCAGGCGGGCAGUUUGACUGGGGCGGUCGCCUCCGAAAGAGUAACGGAGGCGCCCAAAGGUUCCCUCAGCGCGGACGGAAACCGCGCGAAGAGUGCAAAGGCAGAAGGGAGCUUGACUGCGAGACGGACAGGUCGAGCAGGGACGAAAGUCGGGCUUAGUGAUCCGGUGGUAGAGAGUGGAAUUGCCAUCGCUCAACGGAUAAAAGCUACCCUGGGGAUAACAGGCUAAUCUCUCCCAAGAGUUCAUAUCGACGGGGAGGUUUGGCACCUCGAUGUCGGCUCAUCACAUCCUGGAGCUGGAGUAGGUUCCAAGGGUUGGGCUGUUCGCCCAUUAAAGUGGUACGCGAGCUGGGUUCAAAACGUCGUGAGACAGUUUGGUUCAUAUCCAUCGCGGGCGCAAGAAGUUUGAGGGAGGCUGCUCCUAGUACGAGAGGACCGGAGUGGACGGAUCAACGGUGUACCAGUUGUCACGCCAGUGGCACGGCUGGAAAGCCGCAUCCGGAAAGGAUAAACGCUGAAAGCAUCUAAGCGUGAAGCCCGUCCCGAGAUGAGACUUCUCAUCAGCAAUGAGUAAGACCCCUUAAAGACGAUGAGGUUGAUAGGCUGUGAGUGGAAGGCCCGUAAGGGUUGGAGCGACGCAGUACUAAUAGGUCGAGGUCUUAACUUG
rnacentral:rRNA from 1 species